UAGAAAUGCAGCACUGGUACGGGUACGGAUCCGACGCCUCUCGUAGGAUACUUAGGCUCUCCGUACCCUACUCCUACUCAAAACGUCCCCUUGAGACGAAAGAAGCCGAAAAGG
rnacentral:ribozyme from 1 species